UUGUUCGGGUAUCCUUCCCCAGUGUGGAAGCUUUAGUUCUUUUGCUCUUUGCAAUGAAUCUUGCUGCUGCUCACUCUUUGGGUCCACGCUGCGUUUACACUGUGUUUAUGAGCUGUAACACUCACCACAAAGGUCUGCAGCUUCACUCCUGAAGCCAGCAAAGACCACGAACCCACCAGGAAGAAGGAACAACUCCAGACACGCAGCCUUAAGAGCUGUAACACUCACUGCCAAGGUCUUCAGCUUCACUCCUGAGCCAGCCAGACCAUGAACCCACCAGAAGGAAAAAACUCGGAACACAUCCCAACAUCAGAAGGAACAAACUCUGGACAUGCCGCCUUUAAGAACUGUAACAACGCAAGGGUCCGCGGCUUUAUUCUUGAAGUCAGUAAGACCAAGAACCCAAUUCCGGACACGUUUGGACCAGACAAAGUCUUCCUAUGUUGCCCAGGCUGAUCUCAAACUUCUGGGUUCAAGGGAUCCUGCCACCUCAGCUUCCCACACUGAUGGGAUUAUAGGCAUGAGCCACUGCACCCUGCCUAGGCCCACAAGGGCAAGACUUCAUGAGGUUCUGGUGACCAAGCAUGCUCAUCGCUGUCCUGGGACUGCUCCAAGUGCAAUUCAAAGAUGUUUGUUACAAAUGAAGAUCCUCUCCUCAGAGAUCCUCAUUCCCUGCAUUUGAGAUGGGCCCUGGGAACCUUCAUUAUUAACUCCUGAAUUUCACUUGGACCAACACGGUGAUGGUGACAAGCCCAGACUGGUGCAUAUGAGAAGAGAAGACACAAGAAAACACACAUGGAAGAGAGUGAUGAAGGCGAAGACCGGAGUGAUGUAGCUCCAAGCCACAGAAUGUCAGAGAUCGCCAGGAGCCACCUCCGGGAUAAGCAGAUGGAAAGGCAGCUCAACAUCUGAGAAGCCAGUCUUACUCCCUGCAGGCAACAGCUGCUUCCAGAAAACAGCCCUGUAAUUGUCACCAUCAAAUCCAUAUAUUUUCAAGGGAAGUUGGUCCCACACCAGAAGUCAUAGCUGAAUCACCAGCAGUAAUGCAGGGACAUACUGGUUGCUUCUUGGCUUUUCCAACCCUCUGCCAUGCUUGAACAUCUUUGUGAAAGUCCAGGAACAACAAAUAAGCUUAAGGAUAAAAGCCCCCCAGCCAUACCACCACAACCCCCUGUUAAACUCAUGCAUGACUUGUAGAAUCCUUUCCCCACUGUCACUAAAAGGCUUUUUACAUUUUCCCUCCUUAAAACACCAGUUUACUGAAUGGAACGCUAUUUCCUAAAUAUUUGCUACACACACAGCUGUAUAUAGAGUUCCCAGGAGAUGACUUUUUUCUUGUCAUCUUUUAAAACUACAGUUAUAUGUUGAUUUAAUUAUCUUCUCUCUAGAUUACUUCACCAAAGUACAGUUCCUACAGGAAGAUAAUGAUCUGACCUAACCUACUAUUGGCUGAAGGAAGGAGAAAAGCAGCUGAAGAUGUCUGUUGAGUGAUUACCCUCAUAAUCCGUGACUAAGAACAUCCAAAUCAGCAUGGCUUCUUCCUGUCUGAAAUUAUUACUACUUAGGGUUUUUCACGUGUUAUUUCAUUUAUUGAUUAUUCUGUUUUAAACUUGCAAGACGUAUUGUCUCUUCAGAAAUAAAACUUUAUCACUUG
rnacentral:lncRNA from 1 species